GGCCUCCUGGUGCUUACCACAGGCUGUUUUUACACUGACUGUAUAGAAAGAAGAGGCAGAGCAAACCUGCCCCCAUAUACACCCCAGCCCAGGUCACUGUGCCUGGUCUGUAUUGUGAAUGGGGAGACAUGG
rnacentral:snoRNA from 1 species